rnacentral:tRNA from 1 species
GGGCCUGUAGGGUAGCCAGGAUAUCCUGAUGGGCUUCGAACCCAUCGACUCGUGUUCGAAUCGCGGCAGGCCCG